GACGAACGCUGGCGGCGUGCUUAACACAUGCAAGUCGAACGGAGUGGCGAACGGGUGAGUAACACGUGGGUGACCUGCCCUGCACUUCGGGAUAAGCCUGGGAAACUGGGUCUAAUACCGGAUAGUGUGGGAUGGGCCCGCGGCCUAUGAGCUUGUUGGGGGGGUAAUGGCCUACCAAGGCGGCGACGGGUAGCCGGCCUGUGAGGGUGGACGGCCACAAUGGGACUGAGGCAGGGAGCAGUCUGCUACGGGCGGCAGUAGUGGGGAAUAUUGCACAAUGGGCGGAAGCCUGAUGCAGCGACGCCGGGUGGGGGAUGACGGCCUUCGGGUUGUAAACUCCUUUCACCAUCGACGCGGUAGAUGGAGAAGAAGCACCGGCUAACUACGUGCCAGCAGCCGCGGUAAUUC
rnacentral:rRNA from 1 species